rnacentral:lncRNA from 1 species
CUUAUGUAAAAGAAAGUUGGAGUAGGCAUAAGCUUAUAGGAUCAUUAAGAAGCUCCUGUCCUUCUAUCUUUCUGCUUCCAGGCUUCCAUCUCAAGGUUACUUCAUGGCCCAAGACUUCUGUUGGAGCUCCAGCUGUUACAGCAGCAUCUCAGGGCUCUUCCCCACCCACUCUACGGGGCUGCUCUGUCCAUUCUCCAAGUCUCCACGUAAACGCCACUUCUCCUGGAACACCUUCACUGGUAUCUUGGACUGGGUAGGACUCUUCCUAUGAACUUCUCGUAAUGAUGCUCAUCGCACCUCAUGCGAAUUUCUCUUUCUGUUGGUUUUCCCCACAAGAUUGUAAGGCUUGUGCAAAUAAACACAGUACCUCUUUUAUUCAUUAACUCUAUCCCAUGCGCCUAGUUUAAGGCCUAG